AAACACAAGAUCAACUAUGCUAUCAAGCCUAUCGCCCACGGAAAUAAUAGCUAAAAGCAUAAUAGUACCCUGAUCCUAAUGUUUUCGGUUGGGGCGACCACGGAGGACAAAAAAGCCUCCAUGUCGACGGGGGCACUGCCCCUAAAACCUAGGGCGACAGCCCAAAGCAACAGAACAUCUGACGAACAAUGACCCAGGCUAAAGCCUGAUCAACGAACCAAGUUACCCUAGGGAUAACAGCGCAAUCCUUUCUAAGAGUCCAUAUCGACGAAAGGGUUUACGACCUCGAUGUUGGAUCAGGACAUCCUAAUGGUGCAGCCGCUAUUAAG
rnacentral:rRNA from 1 species